rnacentral:rRNA from 1 species
UACGUAGGGGGCUAGCGUUGUCCGGAAUCAUUGGGCGUAAAGAGCGUGUAGGCGGUCCGGUAAGUCCGCUGUGAAAGUCGGGGGCUCAACCCUCGAAUGCCGGUGGAUACUGUCGGGCUAGAGUGCGGAAGAGGCGAGUGGAAUUCCUGGCGUAGCGGUGAAAUGCGCAGAUAUCAGGAGGAACACCUAUUGCGAAGGCAGCUCGCUGGGACGUUACUGACGCUGAGACGCGAAAGCGUGGGGAGCAAACAGG